ACCAAGUGUGGUCUGGUGGGGAGAGCACUGUGCUAUGGGUUAAGCAGUGUGUGUCUUAGUUCCAAUUUGGCAUCUAUCUUUGGAGCACCGUUGGUCCCAUACUGUCUGUGGCAGAGACUGGCUAAGCUAUUCAUCAAACCUGUGUCCUUUUUUCCCAACACAGCUAAACCUGGUUCUUAGCCUUUCUGAGAGUCAGAUGUGUCCAUGUGACAGGUACUGACCACUGGACUGUGGACAAAAGUCAGGUACUUUACAAUCAGGUCUGAAUCAGGUCUGAAUCCUCACCUUGAGCUGGAUAGUGAUACCUAAGGCUGGCCAUGAAGAUCACAGAGCUGUCAAUCUUGGGUCCCCUCAGACCUCAGGGUGGCCAAGCAGGGUCUGGGGCAGCUGGAGUACCUGGUCUGGGCACCUCAGUUGUAAGAAAUCUCCAUUUACCCUACUGUGCUAACUCCUUCUACACGUGCCAUGAAAACUGAAAAGUAAGGCAAUUUCCCAGUGGACUCUGAGAUUGCUUCCAGUCCUACCAUCCUCAGUUGGAAGCCAUUUAUACUCUCAUCCACCCUCAACAAAGAUAGAAGGAUGCUCUUCCUGUGCAUUCAAGAUCUCCUGGGGGAGGGAAUGGGACUUUGCUUCCUCCUAUUCUCCCUCAGAGAUAGAGAUGAAGGGGAAAAUAUAGAAAAGAAAGAAAACAGAAUGUCUGUCAUAGUCCACUAGCCAGUUAAUGGGAGGGAAUCAUGAAAGGGCCUCACAAUGAGGAGGCCUACAAGGAAAUAGCAUGACGUCUGUGAGAGCCACAAGCCAGAGAACGAGGGUGCCACUUGCCACCACACUUGGCUGGUGGCAGAUCCUUGGGCUGUAAAUCCUAAACAAGGGCCAGACCAGUGACAACAAACUCCUGUUCCUCCAGCACAUCUCUUGCUAUGGGUUUGUGCUUAAUCAAGCCAGCCUCAAAUCCUUUUAGAACUAAAAGUCUCAGCUAUUCCAAAAUUAACCUCCUUCCAUAUGUCCUCUUCAAUAAAGCCUUCUUUUCAACUCAAAGAAGGAUGUGAAAGCUAUUGCUCCCUUAGGCAAUGCCAUUGCUGUUUGAAAAACCAAGAUGUAUAUACACAUAUGUCCUAUGUAUACAUAACUUAUAGUAUAAUUUUCUGAUUCUGGAUGUUUGUAUGUAUAGUGGAAUGUUAGCUCCUUCUAGACAUAGAAGCUGCACCAUAUGUCCCUGUGGUAGGAAUGUGACCUACUCCUGGAAUGAAGAGAUUGCAUUUGAUCUGUGACAUUAAAUAGCCAAACUAAACACUCCACAUUGAGACAAUACAAAACUGGUCCAUAAAGAUAUCAACAAGACCCCCACAUUUUUACAAGGACAGCAAAAGAUAAUUCUACAUUUUUUACAAGUCUUUUAAAAAAAUCUUUGAAGCAUUUCUAUAGUGUUUAUUAUGUAAAAACAUAGUUCUAAAUGCUUUUGCAGCUAUUAAUCUGAUUCUCCAUGAGAAGGAUAUUAUUAUCAUCCCAUUUUACAGGUAGAGAAUCUGAGGAAGAGAUGAGGUCAUUUGCCCAAAUUCACACAGCGAGUUAGCAGCAGAACUGGGGUUCCAACUCAUGUAGUCUAGUGUCACAGGCCGUGUGCUCAGUCAUGACACCAUGCUGCCUGGUGGCUUUAUUUAUUUAUUUAUUUUUUGAGACAGAGUCUCAUUCUGUCACCCAGGCUGGAGUGCAGUGGCACAAUUUCGGCUUACUGCAACCUCUGCCUCCCGGGUUCAAGCGAAUCCCUUACCCCAGCUUCCCAAGUAGCUGGGAUUACAGGUGCCCACCACCACGCCCGGCUAAUUUUUGUAUUUUUAGUAGAGACAGGGUUUCACCAUGUUGGCCAGGCUGGUCUUGAACUCCUGACCUCAAGUGAUCUGCCCACCUAGGCCUCCCAAAGUGCUGGGAUUACAGGCAUGAGCCACCGCUCCCAGCCCCAGUGGCUUUAAUAAUGACCAAACCUCAUCUGUGUUUUCCUCAUACACACCCACACUCUCUGGUCCUCCCCACAUUGGAAAAGUGCAUAAUAAGUUUCACCCAGUCAUUUCUCCAGAGUCUCCUGAACUUAUGGAUCAAAAGCAGCCCAUCUGAAGUAUGGCCCUGGCUAGGAAAAGCCUUCAUGGCAAGUAUAGAACCUGAACAUGGGCUCUUGGUAAAAACUUUCGGUCCUUAGAAAAUUUAAUUCUUAAUGAAAAGCCAAUGUUCAAACUAUCAUUCUCUAUGGAAAAUAGGAAUCUAUUCUACAAGAUUGACUUUUUCCUCCAUGAUUUUUUAGUUGUGGGAGUCAAAAAGACAGUAUGAUUGUGACAUAUUUUAAAGAGCAGGUGCUUAAAUAUUUAAUGACUUUCAAUAGUCCCUCUUUUCUAGCAUUCAGGAAGAGUUGAGCAGAAAUUGGCAGAAACCGUGUCAGAAGUUCCCAUGUUCAGUCACCACAUUACCAUGCUUGGCUGGCUGAGAUGGAGUGACAGAAUUUACCCCUCUAGGCUGUUUCUCCAUUUUUGAAGUGAGAAGGGCAAACUCUAUGACUUCUGGAGUCUAAUCCAAUUCUUACAGGAUUUUUAAUUCACUAUCCCCAUGGCUGCAAGACCACUAGAGAUCUGCCUCCUGACAAGGCUUUCCUGCCUCAUCUCAGAUCCCUGAGCUCCUUGCUCAUGAAACUCUAGGCACAUGGGCUUCCCUUCUUCCAGAACGCUAAUCCCUUUCCUGGCGUAGGGCCUUUCCACCAGCAAUUCCCUCUGCUGGAAAGCUGGAUCAUCACCUGGUUAGCUCUUUUUUAUCAUUCAAGUUGCUGGUUAACUUCUUUAAUCAGCUCUUCUGUGAGCCUGUCCCCAAUAUCUCAAGCUAAACUAAUCUUCCCAUCCCAGCACUAACUCUCCAUCAAUCACCCUGAUUUAUUAUCACCUAUCAAAAUCUGAUAUUCUCUUGUUUAUUUCUUUUGUUUAUAGUCUAUCUCCCCCCAUUAGGUAUAAACUCCAUGUCUGUCUUAUUCAUCAUUUUAUCUCCAGUACCUAUGUAAGUGCAUAGUAGCUACUCUAUGAAUAUUUGCUGAGUGAAUAAAUUCAAGAAAUGCAGGACUCCUAAUGCAGGCAAAAUCAGAGCCUAAGAGCAAGAGGCAGUAGGAUUCCUUUCUAAGAGUCACUUCUUGGUGCUACACUUCCCUUUUCUUUUUUAAUUUAGUGAUUUCAGAACGAAGGUCUGAGUGACUAUACACAGAUCCACAUUGUAAGAGGUAGGUUUGUGUGCCCUUUCUCUUCUGUGGAUGGAUCUCCUACCUCUUGUGAGAAGUUGUGAGUCUUCAGUGACAUCUUGUCUGGUUAUACUACCUGCAUCACAAACAGAAAAUUGCAUGUUCCCCCUUAGGGAGACCAGCACCUUACUGUGAGGACAGCUGUGUUGCUCUGGUUCUGCAGAUUCUGGGCUUCUAGAUCUGAAUAAAGUUUCAGAAAACUCAGACAGCUAAGAAGAAAUACCUGCACAUCAUCUGACAAGAACAUGGAACAGUCUUGGCACCAGGAAGAUACAGAUGUGGCUGACCCAGACUUGCUCCCUAAAGUUCACCCUGAGCUUGUGAUACACAAAAUUUGUUUAAGAGUUCCUGUAGUGAUGUCCUCACCUGUUAUUAGAGUCAUUCGGGCCUCACCUAGAGAAUAGUUGUUGGAAAUCUGUUCUCAGCUUCAUUUGUUCUCUUGGCUUAUUCUCACUUCCAUAUUGCUCUGCCUGUCUAGAUACUUUUUUUAAACUUAUAUAAUGACAACUCAGGACGACUGAUUUUCUAUUCUAUUAUAAGCAGAUUACCAGGUCAGAGACUUAAGCACUUUGUUGCCCCACUAUUUCAUCUGUCAUACGCACUUUGCCCAUUUCUUUUCUAAACAUUGUUAACUGUAUUAGGAUUCUAUCCCUAGGUAGACUGUCCUUUUCCCAAUUUUAUUCUGUUUCGGAUCAUUGUCUUACCAAAUUUAUUAAGUUUAGUUACAUUUUUUUUUUCCUUGGAGGUUUCCCAGACUCAGAAACCUAAAACUGCCUGGGGUGGUCCCAGCUUACGUUUGUAUUCUCAGCAUAAUUAUUACAGAGUUUCCUUUCACUGUCAGAAGAAUCUUGCUUUGGAUGGUAAAUUAUAUGGUCACUCUGCUGGCCUUUCAGACUGACUCGGAACCACCCCACACACCUGACUGAGGGCACCUCAACUUCUUCCAGAACUUCAGUUAGAGACUACAUGUGGUCUUUCCUCCAGGACUAGCUUCUGGUGGUCUGGAAAUGAGUAUCUGACUCCUGGCAGGGGUGCUGUGGCACUGCCUAGGACAUUAAGCUGAGCUUCUUUCUAAGCUAAUGGAGCCCAUGAAGGUUAGAUGAUGAUUACUCUGAUUCUGUGUGUACCUCAUAAAGAUGCAGUGGAGUGGAGCAAUUAAAAACUGGAACUUUGGAGCAGGACUGCUUAAGUUCAAAUCCUGGCUCUGUCACUUUCAUUUUAUAUCAUUUAAUUGGGGCCUAUAAACCCAUGUACAUGUUCUUUAUUAAGAGAUCUUUGAAACAGAAUAUUUAUACAUGCACAGACCCACACUCAUUUAGUUGUACUUGUGAUCUAACAUUUGCAGAUUUCCCAUGUCACAAGAUCUAAUAACAUGGACAUGGCAUGGAUGACUCAGCUCCAAGCCAGUUUGUCAUAUUAUGAUAAUUCAUGGGACAGUAAGCUUGGCAAAAUUUCUCAGCACUAAGACUUCCUCUCCACAAGACAGACACAACAACUAUUCCCCCUCUGGAUGUUCAGUAAAAGCUGAAUUAUGUCAUUCAUUUAUUCACUCACAAAGCAUAUGUUCUUUAUGGAGCUCUCAGCCGUACAGCAUUAAGGGCAGUAAAGAAUCUAAAGAAAAUAAUGUCCAUGCUUAAUCUCAAGUAGUUUGUUACUGAGCUGGAAAUAAUCGAAGUAUGCACACAAAAAUUGAAUGACCAUGCAAGACAAUGAAGCCAAAAAUGCAAGACACUGAAAGUGAAAAGAAAUAUAAUAACUAAAUGUCAGAUGACCUCACAUAAGAUCUAUAGAAGCUUAGAAAAGAGAACCUAGGAAUGAAGACACCAAGAGAGUCAAGACCUAGAAGAAGAUGGAAGCUGUGAAUCUGGGAAGAAAAACAUAAAUUUUAGAUAUGCAUUGAACAUCAGAUUCAGACUAAAUCUAGUAUCUGGCAUCAGCUUCAGCCUUGGCUUCUAGAAAGCCAAACACCUACUUCAGUGUCCUUUUUUAGUAUCCUGGAAGUUGUAAAUGGUCAGUGAUCCUGUGAUUGUGCAGCUUAAAAUCUUAUUUGAUGAGCUCAGCAAUGCUAGGAAGAUGACAAAGCCAUGUCAUUUGGAGUAAUUUUUAAAAUAGAUGUGCCAGCUUUUUAUUCUGAGAAGUAAAUAUGUUAGAAAGGACAAUCCUUAUUAUCAUUUCAUACAAGGAUAUUUGACACCAAAAUAUAGAUAUGACAUGAUCAGAUUUAAUUUUAAUAUCUCAAUAUUCACUUUCAAGUAUGGGUAAGUAUUCUCAAUAUCCAUUGGAGUUUUUAAAAGACAUUGUUUUGUUUUAUGCUAUAGCACAUAACAUAAAUGCUAUAAGAUUAAUUAGUAAAGCAACUGACUGUACUAAACAACCUAAUAUCAGUCAAUUGAAAUACAAAAUAUAUUAAUGAUUGUAAAAGUAACAUGCUUUACUAAUUAAUUAUAAUUAUAAUAGCUAGUAAUUUCUGUAAAAAAUUAAUUAUAACUUUCUACUACAUAACUAUAAAAGAAUAGAGUUUGGCAGCAUAAAUGUUAAGAGAAAGUACAUUUCCUCAGUAAAUUAGGAAGAAUGCUGGAUCUUUUUCAAACACAUGCAAGCUUAUAAAAAUUUAAAUAGUAAUACAAGACAGAAUAAAAGAGAUUGGGUUUGUUAUAAUUCUAAUCUUCAAAUAAUUACUGCACUAGUGAAAAACUUUUUCCUAGUUACAUUCUCUUCACAAAAAAGUGACAUUGUUAAAUGUAAUUCUUCUGUGUGUCAUGGAGCAGAUAUUUAGACAAGCAGAGACAACCAGGAGUCUUAUUUUUAAGUUUGGCAGCAUUUAGGACUAAUUACGAAUUCAAGUGGGUUUCUGCUUUACCCAGUUCCUGAGGUAUUUCUGGUUCCCAAACAUUGAUCACUGCAGUAAAUCUUUUCAAAGACACAUUUACAGAAUGAAAAAAUUAAGAAAAAAUGGUGUCACAUAAUUGUCAUUGUCAAUGGAACAAACAUGAAGAUGCCAUGAAUGAUUUAGAAAUCACAGCAUGUCUUGUUCAUACAGUUCAUGUGUGUGCUAAGGAAUUAUAGGACAGGAUAAUGUAGUAGAAAAACUGGUAAUCAGCAGGAAAACAGUGAGCUACUGUGGUCGGUUUUCUUUUUCUUUUUCUUUUUUUUUUUUUCUUGAGAGGGAGUCUUGUUCUGUCACCCAGGCUGGAGUACAGUGAUGGUGGGAUCUCGGCUCACUGCAACCUCUGCCUCCCGGGUUCAAGACGACUCUCCUGUCUCAGCCUCUUGAGUAGCUGCGAUUACAGGUGUGUGCCACCACACCCGGCUGAUUUUUGUAUUUUUAGUAAAGACGGGGUUUCCCCAAGUUGGCCAGGCUGGUCUCGAACUCCUGACCUCAGGUGAUCCACCCACCUCGGCCUCCCAAAGUUUUGGGAUUACAGGCGUUAGCCACCGCGCCUGGCCAGAUUUUCUUUUAGCCAAAGACAGACUCCUUGAUGCAUGAGAUUUUAGAAGUGCUAUCUACUUACACAAGGUAUGCAAACAAGAUGGAAAGAGGGACAGUGGCUAGUACAUGCCCCCGCCUCCCCCAAAAAAAGAGCUGCUUGACAAAAGAAUGUCUAACCCUCUGUUUCACAGAGAGCAGUGCCAACAUCACAGGACUUCCUGCCACCAAAGACACUCCCUCUCUGCAGGAAGGGUAGUUUGUGUGCUGAAACCUUCUAAAGAAGUAGCAGAUACAGAGGUGCCUUGAGAGGGCAGCGGCUGCUGCAGGGUACCUUCUCCAGAGAUCCCCAACUAUGAGAGCAAAAACACAGAUGGAAACUCUGAAAUGGUUUUGUUAUCUGGAAAUCCAAGUACCUUGUCCCACUGAUACAUUUUUAUAUCCAAAUAUUAAGAAACAAUUUUUGUCUCAAGUGAUUGUGGGAAGCAGCACAAACACACAAAAUACUGGAAAUAAUUUAAAUGAGAAUAAAAAUCUUAAAUUAGCUUUCAAAGACAGUCAGAAAGUAACUUCUGCAAACGGUUUUUCCCAUCAGUAAUCACUUAUUGAGUACCCAUGUAGCAUGGAACCUGGAACCAUACUGCCUGGGUUCGAAUCAUAGCUGGGUCACUUGCUGGCUAUAUAACCUUGGGUUAGUUAUUUGUCUCUCAGUUUCCUCAUCUGUAAAAUGGGAUUAACCAUAAUAUCCACCUUAUAUGGAUGUCUUCAGGAUUCAGUGAGUUAAUAUUUGUAAAGCACUUAGAAUAGUGCCUGGCACAUAACACACGUUAUAUAUUAUUUGUUAAAUUAAAAUAAGAUGUACCAUGCACUGUUCUAGACAUUUGGGUUAGAACAGUGCACAAAGCACCUUUUGUGAGAUUAUUUCAAAGAAAUUAAUCAUUACCAUCCAUCAAAUCUUCAACUCCAGGAGUUGAAGGGAAUGUAAUUCAUUAUUUCAGCCGAUUAGUUUUAGAAAAAGAAAGCUUAAUAAUUUGGUGACAAUGUGGCUAUCAGCUAUAUCCCAUACUGGCAGAUUAGCCAAAAGAUAUCUUGGUUUUUUAAUCAAUUUCAGUUGAAAUGAGUGAAUACUGAAUAUCUGUUGAUUAAAUUAGAUUGGAGAGAAGCUGCUAAGGAGACUGAACCACGCAGUGCCAUGGAAGAGAAAGUAAGGAAAAAGGGACACAUGACAAGGACAUAAACAUCAGGAGAACUAAGAAUGCAAGAUAAGAAAAGGACAAUGGUUUGAUGGCUUAGGGGACCCUGGUGGCCUUCAAAAAACCAAUUUCAGUAGAAAUACUGGGGAAUGAGAUUACUGGAGGUUAAGGAGGUUGCUCUCUAGGGAAUUUGGGAGGCAAAGAAACAAGCAGAUGAUACCUGGAGAUGUUAGCAGGUUAAAAAAAAAAUCUUCACUAUAUGAAAAACACAACUGAUUAGAAAGGAGGCACUGGAGAAGGAGAAAUUUUAAAGAAGUAUAGAAAGUAAGGGAUAUAACUGAUGAAGAUUCCAGAGGAGUUUAAAGGGGAAUGAGAUUAAAAACACUGGCAGAGUAAUCAUGGGAAACAGUGAAUGGGAAAGAGCUCAGAUCAGAUGUUUUUUAUUUUCUUGGUAAAGAAGUCCAUAGGAGUAAGGAGACAGAAGUCUCUUUGGGCAUUUAAGGAACAUGGGAAAAUUUAUUACUACAAUUAUGGGGGAUAUGAUACAGCGUUAAUUCUCCAUGAUGAAAAGGAUAUCCCAUUAACCCUGGAUGCCCAACUGAGGUCCGAUAGCAGGGAUCUGUGUUGGAUCCAAGAACAACUUCUUGUAAGGAUUCACUUUCGGAAAUGGUUAACAAUAGUAUGUAUAGGGAUCAUAGGUUUGGAAGAGUCAAGUCUGGAGCAGGGGACUUUUCACACCAAAAGAUUUUUCCAGCUGACUUGGGCUAAGAAAGAACAAAGUGAAGACAGAGGUGUUGACAGAUUUGGGAAACAGGCACAGAUUAGGAAUUGGAGGACAUAGAGUGGCUUGGUGGGCAUGAGGUGGGAUGACAGGGCAUUACUAUCAGAAGGACAGUCAAUGAGUGUAAGAUCCUGGAGAUGUCAGAGGAAAGAGAACCAAGAAUCAAGUCUUGAAAAAUAUGCAGAAGAGAGGCAGAAGGAAGUCUACUAAAGGUGCUACAGUGAGAGAACUAUCAGAGAGAUAGAAAGACAAAACACAGCUAUGCCAUGGAGGUCAAGGAGAAAGAAGACUUUACACAGUAUACUUACAAACAAUAAUCCUAACAAACUUGCGAUGUUAUAUAAUAAUGAGUACUGAACGCUAGUGAUGAAGCUAGCAUAGUACAGUUUUAUAGGCAUUGCCAUAGUAAGUUUUCUCAGCAACCAAGUAAGGCAAGUACUAUCACUGAUGUUUUACAACAGAAGAAAGCAUAGCUGUGGGAAACAACUUAUCCAAGGUCAUACCACAUGAGCUUCUAACCUUGACCAUGAACAGCUUUCUAUUUUAAUAACCAAACAUUAUGUCUGAAGUAGUUGCCAUAUUACUGCAAUUGUUUUUGCAAAAACUCUACCGUAUCAUGUGUAUGUAUUAUCAUUAUUAUAUUUCAGAGCAGAUAACACAGAAUUCAAGGAGGACUGAGACCAAAGGUUAUCACUGGAUUUGUCCAUUAGGAGAUUGUUAGAAACUGGCAGAGCAGAGUGUGGGGAUAGAGCACAUUAUUGAAAGACAAGACUGGGGAAGGACAAAGAAGCCACAGGGGGUGGGGUCAGGAACAUGGGGAUUGAAGUUUGGCAUAUGUGGAUUCAAAUCCAGGCUGAGUCACUUAGUUGUGUGAUCUUGGGCAAGUUACUCCUUGUUAAUUAAGCUUCAUUUUCCUUGAGUGUAAAAUGGUAAUGAUAAUAAUACCUACUUCCACAAGAUUGUUCUGAGAAUUAAACAACACAAUUUCUAUAAAUAUUUUCAUUCAGUGCUUGGCUCACAGUAUGCACCCAAUAAUGUUUUUACUAUACAAACUGCAUAUAUAAUUAUACAGUUAACUGUAUAUACUAUAUAAUCUGUACUACUACCAGUGAACUUUUAAAAAUUCCCUUUUUUCUAGGCAUUCAUGAUAUAGCCACGUUUUGUUUGUCCUCCUACCGCCUUUCUGAUCUCUGGUUUCCUGAAUUAAUGUAGUUAAUGUUAUGUUUCAGAGCACUUUUGUAUAUAUUAGUUUUUUUCUCAGACAAAACUUUGUAAGGCAGUUAGAGCAAAUUUAGAUACCUUUUCUAGGUAAAGAAUUAUCUGUUCUGAUUAAACAAACAUUCUGCUUUAUAGAGAGCUAUCAUAUGUACCAUGCACCAAUAAUUAUUUUUCAAAUAAUAUUUAAUAGAACACAUUCACUAAAACUGUGCUGCUCAUAUAAGCACUUGUAGGUGAUUUGAAAGGUCAAUUUAGGAUUUUUACUAUCUUCACUAUGUAUGCAUCAUCAUUAUGAGCAAUAAUUUUCAUCUUCCCAUAGAUGUUCAGAAUACCAGUUAUAUGUCUUGUCAGAGUGUCUAACACCUGUGCAUAUAAAUAUGUAUAAUAUACAUGUGCAAUGAGUUCAAAAAGACUAAGUCCUUAGAACACUAAACAUAUCGUAGGAAGAUCAACUGUACUCAGACUCAAGGCUAGCAUUUGGGAUUAAGGAAAUACCUGGAGUCACCAGUAACUUUUGGAGAGCAACACCAACCUUCUAGGUUGCUCCUCCAUAUAGGGAGGUAUGAGUUCAGCUAGGUAUGGGAAAAACAAAGGAUGACCUAGAAAUUAAGCACAUCUGUUAUAUUAUUGAGACAUCAGUAUUUAACUUUUGGAACAAGAGGCUAAGUUUCAGACAAACUUCAUUUUUAAAAAAUCCUUAUUAAGGACCUCUAAACACAGGACCAAAUUCUGUCCUUGAAUUUUAAAACAAAACUGGGUCUGAAAUCAAUAUAGGCACUGUUAGAAAGGAUUUGAGGAUUGAAUUAGGGAAUAGGAUUUGGCUCCUAGGACACAAACCAUGCUACUAAUCCCGGAGAAAGGAUUUGCCCGUUUAAAGGAUUAUAAAUUUUUGAAAAGCAUAUUCUGUUGAUAAUACUUUUCAUUUCCUGCAAAUUACUGAGGGAUAUUUUCAUUGUGAAUGAAAUUGGACAAUGUUUUUAUUGUUGUUGUUUUAAUUUUCUUUGUUUCAAAGGGUACUAAAUUUCCAAAUGAUCAGACGUGAAGUUUCAUGGCCCAUAAUGGCUACACAUUUGAAGACUCAAGCAAAUAAAUUAGAAAUAAAGCCUACCAGCAAACCAAAAGAUAAUUACAUGUAAAAGCAAGUCUCCUUGAUUUCUGAUACUUGCACUUAUGAGAAUGAGAAAACAACGAUAGCACAGAGAGAUGGUGGACAUGGAGGACAGGUCCUGUAGGCUCACUUCAUGGGCUUUUUCAUACCCUGACCACUUUCCACGCUGGAUUCAUUUUACUGUAGUGAAACAAUUGGCUGUAGAUAAUGUUAAAAGAUAGGACUUUGGUAACAGGAGAAUUCAUGGAUUCUUGAAAUUCCUGAAUGGAACUGGCUCUCCAGAAGCUACUUGCAGCUCAAAAGAGAAAGAGAGAGAGAAAGCAAGCCAGAGAAACAUUUGAGGUCAUAUAACACUUUGUCUCCAAUGUUCUCAAGGCCUCCCUCUGUGCACAGACCUCACUUUGAAAUUACCACCUGUCACAGGCCUAGCAAAUCCCCUCACCAGAGACCAUGUCUAAUUCUUUGUUUUAAAGGGCACUCGAUGGUUUUCUCCAGAGAAGUCAUCAUCAUCAGUGGCAGCAACAUCCUACUUUAUUUACACAGCUUAGCAUAGGACCAUCCCCACAAUAUAACAAGAAAGAUUUGACCCUGUGGGCUUUUUCCUGUUCUAAAUUUUCUCCUUUUGCUUGGACAAAAGGUCCAUCAUUUCUGAGAAAAAAAAAGGGAGGAUGGGGCUGGGUAAGGAGACUGCCACAGUAACAGCGUAAUGCUAUUAGUCUGAAUUCUCCCAUGACGGAGCCCUCGCUGGGAAAGACAAUUACAGGCAAAAGGGUGAUAACCUCACGAGGCAAUAACCUCCUGAGAGAUCCUGUGCCACAUGUACAGGUUAUUAAUUUCAGGGAAGGAGCCAAACUUCAGGGGCCCUCUCAGAACCGACUCUUUCAAGGUUUGCCCAUCUCUAAUGAGCUGGGUCUUUUUUGCGAUUGUCUAACCACACGAUUUCCUUAAUUCUUAGCUGGUUGCAUAAUGGCAAAGAUAAAUGUGGCUUUUUCCAGCUGCUUCUAAAAUAGGUUCAAGGUUGAAUUAAUAUGAAUGGAAAUACUUUCUGUUCAUGUAAAGGGUUGGAAGAAACCGUAUGUGUGGGAUUUGCUGAUACCUGCUAAAAUGUACACUGUGUGUCCUACAUGGAGGACACAAGACGGGCAGAGGUGGAAUAAUGACUUAUAGGAGCCCCAAAGUCCUAAGACGGUGAAAUUCCACCAAAUUUAUUCCAUUUCAGCAGGAGCUAGAAUAUUCCAAAAUUCAAAAAAAUGGACUUAGUUAUAAAGGAAUCUUUUCAGAAGUCUUGACUCUCAUCACAUACUCAAUGUUAAUUACCAUUUGUGUGUAGAACGGUGUGAAUUAAAACUAAAGAAACAAACAAAAAACUUGCCUUGUUAUUCUGCCAAAGGACCCCAUAAUCUAAUGAGGGAGAAGUGGCACCUGCAGACCAAAGAACACACAAGAUUUCGAAGGUGGUUAUUCCAAGUGAAAACACACAACUGAAAAAGUCCAUGAGGACUGAGUGGAAAUUGACAAGAACAAGGGGAGUUCAUCAGGAACAACUUUUCCAGGAAAACUUGAGGUUCAGAUUUGAGAGGAUAAUAUGGCUGGAUGAAUAGGAGAAAAUAAGCUACUCCAGAGGAAAUGAAGGAAGUUAAGACAUGGAAUCACAAUCCAUUUCACCUCUUUGUUCUUUUCUUUUAACCUUAACUGCAACCUUCCCCAUAGUAAGCAGAGGAAGAGUAGAUAUUGUUUCUGUGGUUAAGUUACAGAAAGUGUGUUGCUUGCUAGGUACUGCAAAGUAUUUUUCUGUUAGUGACAAGCAAAUCAUAUCAAAUUGUUCAAACUCAAUUUCAACUCUUAUAAGAGGAUAGACAUGGGUUUUGAGGAAAUGGUUAUCAUUUGCCUUGUUAUUACCUCAUCUUUGAGCCCCAACAUGUGCCUUUACUACUUAUCCCAGUGAUUCUUUCAAAAAAUUAUUUAAUAAAUCAAAAUAUUCCAUAAGUCAAAAUAUCUUCAGGUUGCGGAUUUACCUUUGACUUUCAUCUUAACCAAUUGUUUAAAAUUCCCCCAUUCUCCUCUCAUCUAUUGUGUAUAAAUUCAGAUUAAAAUGUAGUUAAAUUCA